rnacentral:rRNA from 1 species
ACUCCUACGGGAGGCAGCAGUGGGGAAUCUUAGACAAUGGGGCAACCCUGAUCUAGCCAUGCCGCGUGUGUGAUGAAGGCCUUAGGGUCGUAAAGCACUUUCGCCGGGGAAGAUAAUGACGGUACCCGGUAAAGAAGCCCCGGCUAACUCCGUGCCAGCAGCCGCGGUAAUACGGAGGGGCUAGCGUUGUUCGGAAUUACUGGGCGUAAAGCGCACGUAGGCGGAUCGGAAAGUUGGGGNNAAAUCCCAGGGGCUCAACCCUGGAACUGCCUUCAAACUAUCGGUCUAGAAGUUCUGGA